rnacentral:rRNA from 1 species
UACAGAGGUGGCAAGCGUUGUUCGGGAUUACUGGGCGUAAAGGGCGCGUAGGCGGCCUUCUAAGUCAGACGUGAAAUCCCCCGGCUUAACCUGGGAACUGCGUCUGAUACUGGGAGGCUUGAGUAUGGGAGAGGGAUGUAGAAUUCCAGGUGUAGCGGUGAAAUGCGUAGAUAUCUGGAGGAAUACCGGUGGCGAAGGCGGCAUCCUGGACCAUUACUGACGCUGAGGCGCGAAAGCUAGGGGAGCAAACGGG